rnacentral:rRNA from 1 species
CCUACGGGUGGCUGCAGUGGGGAAUAUUGGACAAUGGGGGAAACCCUGAUGCAGCGACGCCGCGUGAGUGAAGAAGGAAUUCGUUAUGUAAACCUCUAUCAGCAGGGAAGAAAAGGACGGUACCUGAGUAAGAAGACCCGGCUAACUACGUGCCAGCAGCCGCGGUAAUACGUAGGGGGCAAGAGUUAUCCGGAUUUACUGGGUGUAAAGGGAGCGUAGACGGCAGUGCAAGUCUGGAGUGAAAAGCCGGGGCUCAACCCCCGGACUGCACUGGAAACUGUACGGCUGGAGUGCAGGAGAGGUAAGUGGAAUUCCUAGUGUAGCGGUGAAAUGCGUAGAUAUUAGGAGGAACACCAGUGGCGAAGGCGGCUGACUGGACUGUAACUGACGUUGAGGCGCGAAAGCGUGGGGAGCAAACAGGAUUAGAUACCCUAGUAGUC